rnacentral:rRNA from 1 species
GUCUUUUUGAGUUUAAUUAAAAGUCUAAUCUGCCCACUGAUUAUUAUUUAAGGGCCGCAGUAUUUUGACUGUGCAAAGGUAGCAUAAUCAUUAGUCUUUUAAUUGAAGGCUUGUAUGAAUGAUUGGACGAGAUAUAAACUGUCUCAUAAUAAAUUUAGAUAGAAUUUUAUUUUUUAGUUAAAAAGCUAAAAUAUACCUAAAAGACGAGAAGACCCUAUAGAUCUUUAUAAUUUAUUAAUAAGCUUUUUUAGGUUAUUUUUUAGGUUUAUAAUUUAAAUUAUUUUGUUGGGGUGACAAUGAAAUUUAAUAAACUUUCAUAAUUUUAUUACAUUAAUUUAUGAUUUAUUGAUCCACUAUUAGUGAUUGAAAAUUUAAGUUACCUUAGGGAUAACAGCGUAAUUAUUUUGGAGAGUUCUUAUCGAUAAAAUAGUUUGCGACCUCGAUGUUGGAUUAAGAUUAAUUCUAGGUGUAGCCGCUUAGCUUAUUAAGUCUGUUCGACUUUUAAUUUCUU